AAGAUGGCGACCGGCGCACGGGUGAGUAACACGUAUCCAACCUGCCGAUAACUCUGGAACAGCCUUUCGAAAGAAAGAUUAAUACCGGAUGGCAUACGAAUAUCGCAUGAUAUUUUUAUUAAAGAAUUUCGGUUAUCGAUGGGGAUGCGUUCCAUUAGUUUGUUGGCGGGGUAACGGCCCACCAAGACAACGAUGGAUAGGGGUUCUGAGAGGAAGGUCCCCCACAUUGGAACUGAGACACGGUCCAA
rnacentral:rRNA from 1 species